CCAUCUACCUGUAGGAGCCGGGAGAGGAGGGACUUGAAGCCACGGGGAGAGAUGGAGACGAUCAGCCCAGCCCUUCUGACACCCUCCCCGACGGGCAGUAGUGGGACAGAUGGGAAAUCCUGUGAGGUAAAGGAGUUUAAUUCCUACCCAACAAAGGAAGAAACGAAGGCCCAGACAGGUCACCUCACUUGCUCCAGUUCCCUCCACUGGGAAGGUCUGGAGUCUGGACCAUGCUCAGAAGGAUAAAGGCUCCUGUCCCUGUUUGCCCUUGACUUCCUCGGCCUCUUGACCGACCUUGGUGCCUCCCAGCAUGGCCCCACCCGGAGUUCUGUGCCUCCUGUUUCUAGGGAAUCUGUGAGGAUACAUUCUCAUUGCCGUGUGUUUGUGUCUUACCACACUUGAUCCAAACAGAUCCAAAUCCAGUUUAUUCUAAACCAGUAGUAAAGUCUCCUCAGACCCCAAGAGGUAGGCAGGGUCUGUUAGAUCCUCAUUUUACAAGAGGAAACUGAGGUCCCAUGGGAGGUUAUGAACGUCACUUAUGGUCCCACUGCCAGUAAAUAUCUGCUGGGCUGUGGGGUCUGGGCCUCUGCACGGUGCCACUUCCCCAUGCAGAGACAGCAGUCGACAGGCCUCUGACCCAUGUUACAGCCCGGGUUCCCUUUACUGGAUCUUCCUGCUGCACAGGGAGGAGAUAAGGACAGACCGGCUUGUGGAGAUUUGGGUCCCUGUUACCCGACUUGGUGCAGGAGGCAGUCAGGGCUGACUGGUGUGGAUGGAGAGAAGGCAGAGAAGCCUUUGUCUUUACAGGGCGGGGAUCUGGCAGUAAGGAUCCAUGUGACUUUCCUGUCAUUAUGCGUUGUUUUCUGUGUUGCCUCAUUCUGUCCCCACUCAGACCCUUUAAGGCAAGUGGCUGUUUUCCCCAUUUUGCCAAUGAGAAAACAGGCCGGGGGAAGGGAGGGCAUUUGCCACACAGCCUGCCUUCUGUGGAGCCUCUGUCACAGUCCCAGGUUUCGUGUGUUCUGUGACCGAGGCUUCCUUACCCGUCAGCCGCCUCCUCACGGCCCCUUACUGCAUUCCAACUCCUGAUCAACCCGACACACAUGCCAACUGAGCUUCUAGAAGAGUGAGAGCAGACAGCAAAGACCUGGGGGGCAGGGGCUGACCCCCACCCCCGGCCUUGCUGCGCUCCGAGGCUGGGAGCAGAGAGGGAUGCUCACAGAGGAGACCGUUGUCACCCUUCCCCUCAGAGCAGUGGAGGGCGGCACAUGUUGAACAAACAGCCGUCCAGAGAAGCAGCCCGGAUUCGUAGCAUUUGCCAAUUUCAUGGUGUCAGAACUCCCACAGCACCGAGUUAACUACUACCAUGUGGACGGAAGGUUUGUAUCCCCCAAAUGUAUGUGUUGAAGCCCUAGCCCCACAGUGUGGCUGCAUUCAGAGAGGGCGCCCCUGAGGACAUAAUGAAGGUUAAAGGAAUCAUGGCGAUGGGCUCAGGGUCCUCAUAGAAGGUGACAGCGGAGUGCUCCUUUCUCUUUCUCUCUCCAAGUGCACAGUCUGCGGGAAGGCCUCGUGAACACAGAGCAAGAUGGCACCGCCUACACGCCACAGGCCAUGACCUCAGAAUGCAGCCUAUCUUGCCAGCAUCUUGAUCUUGGACUUCCUGGACUCCAGAAUCGAGAGAAAUUCCUGAUGCGUAAGCUGCCAGGCCCAAGGAAAGAGAGUCUUCUGCCUCAACAAGGCCACAACACCCUGUCCCCUCUGGCCUGGACUCAGUCCCCGCUGUGUGAGGGGGCAGGGCAAUCCGGGGGCCAGAAGGGUGAUAAUCUAGGGAUCCCCCUUUACAGGCUCCAGGUUGCACUGGGCCCGUCCUAGGUGAUGGAGUCCAGGUGUUUGUGUUAUAAGUUAUAAGUUCACUUGUGUGUUGAGGUUCAAGAGGUUCUAGAGCCUGAGGCCAGGUUGGGAUCCCUAACUCUGGGCAUGGUGUUGGUCACAGCCCCUUUCCGCACAGAUAUCUCCCCUCCUCUCUCUGAAUUCUGGUGACUUAGCUGCUCUCUCGGGCCUGGAGAUACCGCUGCUGACUUGCUGGCGUGGCCUUGGGCCCGCAGUCGGUCUCAGUAGUGUGUUCCUACACUCGGCCUGCUCUGUCCUCUGUCAGGAUUCCUUUCCUAAGCUCUCUUCCACUGCCUUCACCUGAGAGAGUCAUCUGUUUCCUGCCAGGGCCGCUGGCUUCGUGAGGGGACAGAGGCACGCGGAGUGUGAAUUCACCGGGAAAUAUGCGGCAGACACAAGGGGUGAGAUGCUCAGCGGGCACUGCUGAGUAGGUUGGAAAAUGUAGACUGGAAGAACUUUUUUUCAUUCCUGGACCUGAGAUCCACCAGACAAAUUAAAUCCCACUAGUGCCAAGACACAAGCAAGCCUCGGACACUCGUGGGUUAAGACAAUGAACAUCAGUCCUGGAUUGUGCAACAUCCCAGUGGGCCGGUCCUGGCCCAGGGCCCUCAGGGGGCAGCUCCUCCGUCUCUCCUGUACCUGCAGUUUCACUUGCUCUAGUGCCGCGGGGUCCUCUCCACUCACCUGGCAAAUGGGGAAACAGCAUGAAAAAUUGCACGACCGAGUUUUGCAUCACUUCCUCUGGGGGUAAUAUACAUCCUUUUUCCCACGUUGCACAGGCCAGAGAUUGGUUGUCUGAUCCCCACAUGUCUGGGAGAGAGGCUAGGAAAUGUGUUUAGGUGUGGGACCAGGAUCAGGGUAAGGCAGGUGAGGCUUUCGCCUCAGAUCAGAGCCUGAACAGGACUCCCAAGAAGCCCAGUAGAGUUUGGAAGUUAUUAUUGGUGAGUUUGCUUCCACUAAACUGAGGAAGGUAAAAUUAUAACUAAUUCUGUUUGGGGUAUGAAUGAAAUAUUUAAACUUAAAAUAGUUUUCAGAGUUUGAAUGACCUACUUUUUAAUGUUUCAAUUUUUUUUCAACUCUUUAGUGUUCUGUUAAGAAUUAACCAUUAAGGGGCGCCUGGAUGGUUCAGUGGGUUCAGCCACUGCCUUCGGCUUGGGUCA